UACGUAGGGGGCAAGCGUUGUCCGAAUUAUUGGGCGUAAAGAGCUUGUAGGCGGUCUGUCGCGUCUGCUGUGAAAAUCCGGGGCUCAACCCCGGACUUGCAGUGGGUACGGGCAGACUAGAGUGUGGUAGGGGAGACUGGAAUUCCUGGUGUAGCGGUGAAAUGCGCAGAUAUCAGGAGGAACACCGGUGGCGAAGGCGGGUCUCUGGGCCGAUACUGACGCUGGAGGAGCGAAAGCGUGGGGAGCGAACAGG
rnacentral:rRNA from 1 species